rnacentral:rRNA from 1 species
AUGGACGGCUAUGCCACCCUGAACAAGCCCGAUGUCUGAUCUCAGAAGCUAAGCAGGAUCGGGCCUCGUUAGUACUUGGAUGGGAGACCACCUAGGAAGACCAGGUGCUGUAGGCA